GAAGAAAAACAUGAGGCUUUUGAAUUGCAUUGUUUAAUAGUAAAUGAGUUUUUGUGUUUCUGCAGAUGUGACUCUGAAAAUCGCUAUGUUGGUAAUCCACUUAGAGGAACAUGUUAUUAUAGCCUUUUGAUUGAUUAUCAGUUUACCUUCAGCUUAUUACAGGAAGAUGAUCGCCACCAUACUGCCAUAAACUUUAUAGCAAACCCAGAACAGUCGAACAAAAAUCUGGAUAUAUCAAUUAAUGCAUCAAACAACUUUAAUCUCAACAUUACGUGGUCUGUCGGUUCAACAGGUAAAAAAAUGUUGAUAUCAUAUCUCUUUUACGUGUGUUCCUAUCUGGAAGUUGUUCUAACAUGAUCUACUGU
rnacentral:lncRNA from 1 species